GAAGCCGCACGGUGCCAGAUCGGGUGAAUCACGUGGGUGAGGACACAGCGUUGUGUUCUCACAAGCCUGCCUUUCCUUUGGUUGGCUCUCAGCGGCAGCACUCGCCAUAGUCCAGAUUAUACCCCCAAACUUCCCAAAGACACUCAGGAAAGAACUUCCAGACCUGCUUCGGAAAGUGGUCCGAUAGGGAUGGAAAGAACAGACCAGGAUGGCCCACAUGUUCACAUAGCAGCAAAGGGAGGAGGCAAAAGAGCAGCAGGGCCAGAGUCAACAAACAAACAGCA
rnacentral:lncRNA from 1 species